rnacentral:rRNA from 1 species
CCUACGGGCGGCAGCAGUGGGGAAUAUUGCGCAAUGGGCGAAAGCCUGACGCAGUGACGCCGCGUGAGGGAUGAAGGUCUUCGGAUCGUAAACCUCUGUCAGCAGGGAAGAACGGUCACUGUGCUAAUCAGCAGUGAAUUGACGGUACCUGCAAAGGAAGCACCGGCUAACUCAGUGCCAGCAGCCGCGGUAAUACGGAGGGUGCGAGCGUUAAUCGGAAUUACUGGGCGUAAAGCGCUCGUAGGCGGUAUGUCAAGUCAAGGGUGAAAUCCCCGCGCUCAACGUGGGAACUGCCUUUGAAACUGGCAAACUGGAGUGUGUGAGAGGAUAGUGGAAUUCCAGGUGUAGGAGUGAAAGCCGUAGAUAUCUGGAGGAACAUCAGUGGCGAAGGCGACUAUCUGGCACAUAACUGACGCUGAGGAGCGAAAGCGUGGGUAGCAAACAGGAUUAGAUACCCCUGUAGUC